rnacentral:rRNA from 1 species
UACGUAGGGGGCUAGCGUUGUCCGGAUUUAUUGGGCGUAAAGAGCGUGUAGGCGGCACACCAAGUACCCUAUGAAAUCUCCUUGCUCAACGGGGAGGGUGUUGGGUAGACUGGUGAGCUAGAGGACGGUAGAGGGGGGUGGAAUUCCCGGUGUAGUGGUGAAAUGCGUAGAGAUCGGGAGGAACACCUGUGGCGAAGGCGGCUUUCUGGUCUGUAACUGACGCUGAGGCGCGAAAGCGUGGGGAGCAAACAGGG